GCGUAACGCGGGGCGCGCGCGGGCGUAGCUUGGCCGCGCGGGGUGUGCCGGGAGAAGAUGGGCUGCGGCGCUGCUGGGCUGCGCGGAAGAAGCUGGGCCGAGGCGGCUGCUGGGCCGGCUCGGGCCUGAGGUAAGAAAGGUAAGCGUUUUCUUUUCUUUUUCCUUUUUCCUUUUUCUGUUUUCUCUUUUGCAAAUAGUUUUUGAUUCAAAUUUCAAAUACCAUUUUGAAAAGCUGAGAAGUAGGAGAAUUCAAAUAUGGUACUACUAUUUGGGAAAUAUUCAAAUGGACUAAAGGUUUAAAAACAAAACCCAUUUGAAUAUCAUUUGUAAAAUAUAGGAAAAUGAAUUUAAACUCAAAGAAAGAAGGAUGAUUCAUAUUUGAAUCUUCUAGCAAAUUCAAACGACAAGAUUCAAACCACAAGUUAAAAUGUAAUUUUCAAAUUUAUGUGAAACAAAGAAGAGAUGACAUGGCAUGGAUG
rnacentral:lncRNA from 1 species